rnacentral:lncRNA from 1 species
AUGACCUAUCUCUUACUCCAUUCUCCAAGCCCUCGUUGGUCUUCACAAAUGCAAGCCUUUCUUUCCUUCUUUCUAGACUUUUUUUUUUUUUUUAACUUUUUCAGCAGUUAUUUCACAAACUGGAUUGAUUUGCCCUUUAUAUUCACAGCAGCUUAUCUUGUCUUCAGCAUCCCUGAAAGAUGUUCUGGGGGACGCAGGGGAAGAAAAUCUCUGUGGACAAACAGCAAAGAUCCCAGGACCUGUCUUGCUACAGCGAAAUUGACCACGUUAAAGCACCAGCAUGAUUUGGAAAUUGAAGUGAAUAAACCGAGAAAGAACGUCUUGAAAAACAAAACAGCGUUUCAGAAAUAAAUGCUGGAGGAAUAAAUGGAGGAAUAAAAUCUGGAUCUAAACAUUCUCUGCUAUUCCUGAAGCCAAACAGCACCUGACACAUUUGGACACCAGAAGAGUUGAUAAUAGAGUGAAGAAAAUUAGUCUUGAAAGCUUUCACAGCUGGCUUCAGCUUGACCACAGGCUUGUCUUGGGCAGAAGGGCUUUGUCUUGCAUUCUGGGCCUAAUGUUUGGAAGGAAACUGUGACUUCCAAUUUCAAUCCACAGCAGGUUUCCCCAAAAUGUUGGCGUGAAAACACUGGUCACAGACUAACAGUUGGAGAGAAAAGUUUUGCCAAGAAUGCAGUGGACGGUGUUCUAGGAAGAGAAAGCUCUUUCCCUGGAGAGAAUUGUAGGUAAAUGAACAAUAUCUUGUAAGUGUGGAAAUGCCUUGGAGCCACAAGUCAAUCACGAUCCAGGUUCUUUUCCCUGUUAACUUCUUUUAAAGAGUUUUGUUUGGCUUAAAUAGUACAGCAAGGAAACCCAGGGCAUGUUUCAGUAAAUAGUAACAAAGCGUUGAUUUAUUUAAAUUAGAAAUCAGUCCCUAAGCCCCUGGUGUUUGAAAUAUUUAUGAAAACUUUGCAAAAGUUCUUUGAGUAUGAGUUUUGAUUUAUGUUUGUUAAAACGCUCAUCUGAAAAUGGCUCGUCUAGUGAAUUCAAAUACUGCUUUCGUUUCAUAAUGAUUGCAUUGACACUUGGCAUCUGAGGCAGGCAUGAGAACUGCACCUUGAGAAGUUCUUACUUCUGGGAACUUGACUGAGGUCCAGCCUCUGAGCUUUGAAAUCCACUGCUGCAUUUGCACAGAGGCCACUUGCUCCCCCAAGAUCGGUGUGAGGGAAAUACUAACACCUGUUCCUGAGAGAUGGGGAGGGGGGUCUCUUCUCAGCUGACUUUGGCUCAAGGACUUCCCAAUGACUUUCUGCAUGGCACUUGAGGACUCAACCUUUUUUGAUGGCUCUUUUAGUUUUUUUUUUUGGCUCCCUCCCUGUUUCCUUUUGCACAAUCAUUUCACCGAAUAAAAUUCUUGCACGUUUAGUCCUAUUUUGACAUCUGCUUCUCCCAGAGUCUGGAAUAACACGGUCAUCUCUUUGGUGGUUUCUUUCUCAGAAUUGCAUUCUGAUUGGAGGUUAAAGUGGUUGGAUUUGAAGUGUAGGAGUAGAGAUGCAUUGGUGGUUGUUGUUGUUUUUCAUAAAUAAUUUGGAGCUAGGAAAAAAAAAAGAAGGGGAUCCCUGGGUGGCUCAGCGGUUUGGCGCCCGCCUUUGGCCCAGGGUGUGAUCCUGGAGACCUGGGAUCAAGUCCCACAUCGGGCUCCCUGCAUGGAGCCUGCUUCUCCCUCUGCCUGUGUCUCUGCUUCUCUCUGUGUGUUCCUCAUGAAUAAAUAAAUAAAAUCUUUUAAAAAAAGAAAAAAAAGAAUAUGGAGCUAGGAUCUAGACUGCAGUGAUGGAAAGUUACAAUAUGUCCUACUCUGCUGAGAUGCUGCUGGUAGUCGUUUAUCCCCUUUGUAUUUCCAUUCUCCUCUUAAGUAUCUUCAAUCCUCUUUGAAAUUUUCAUUCCUCUAUCUCCUAGAAACUGCACAUUUUCCUUGCAAGGGAUUUUAUUUGAAAUCACGUGAGUUUGUAGUUAUCUCAACUUAAUUUUGUUUUAUUGUUUCUGUAGUUAUCUCAGACCUUUGAAAAGUGUAUAAGAUGAAGUCCCUAGAGAACUGCAACAGAAGUAAAUAUACAGGGGCAUCUAGGUGGCUCGGUUGGUUAAGUGUCUCACUUUGACUAAGGUCAUGAUCUCAGGAGUCCUGGGAUGGAGCCCUCCCCAAUUCUGGGGAGAGUGCUUCUCCCUCUUCUUCUGCCCCACCCCCCUCUUAUGCUCCCUCUCAAAUAAAUAAAAGAAUUACCUUUUAAAAAGAUGAAUAUAAAAGGCUUACCGUGGCAAAAUCAAAGGAUUUGAUUACAAAGAUAUGGAUAUAAAUAUAUAUAUUUUUUUAAUUUUUAAAAAAGAUUUUAUUUAUUUAUUCAUGAGACACACACACACACACACACACACACACACACACACACACACACACAAAGGCAGGCAGAGGGAGAAGCAGGCUCCAUGCAGGGAGCCUGAUGAGGGCUUGGUCCUGGAGUCCCUGGAUCGAGCCCCACAUCAAGUCCUCUUGAUCCCGGGACUCCAGGAACAAGCCCUGGGCCAAAGGCAGGAGCUAAACCACUGAGCCACCCAGGGAUCCCUAUAAAUAUAUUUUAAAAUGUAUAAACAUACAGAUGUACCUAAAUUCAUAUUGAUUCAGACUGAUAAUAGAUUUAAUUGGCUGCAGACUGAAUCAACAAGUAUUUAUAGAGAUCUUCCCUUUUUUUCUAACAGUUGGAUGGGCACAGUGGUCUGGGUCCUCAAGAGACUUACUGUCUAGUUAUGAUGAGACUUGAUCACAUGAAAGAAGAAGGCGUAGAAGCCCAGGCUUAAAAGAGGUUUGAAUAUUCAUCAAGUGCAAUCACUUUGAAUAUUUUCUUCCCCCGCAAGGCCAGGUGCUUGCAAGACUAUUUAACUCCACAUAGAGAGAGAGCCUACCAUUUCAUCCCUAGUUAUCUUUGACUUUCUAAGUUCCUCUUUCUAGUGCAGUUUCACCCUCUGGUCUUAGUUCUGCCCCGGAGGAAGCCAGUUUUCAAGACGGCCCCCUCCAAUGCCCACCUCCUAGUAGUCAUCACACCCUUGCGUGCCUCCUGCACAAAUGGUACCAGAGUUGCCGUGUGACCAAGAACAAAUGGCAACCGUGAUGGGAUGUCACUUCUGAGAUGAAGCUGUAAGAGACUGCAGCUUCUGUUUUGGGUCCUUUCCUACUCAUUCACUGGUGCAUGCUCACUUGUUUUCCUUCCCUAUUGUGGGGGAAGCUGGCUGUUGUGUAGAGAGGACAUUCAGGCAACCUGUGGAGAAGCAUGUGUGAUGAGGCUGUUUGUCCAACAGCCAGUGGGGAACUGAGACCUGCUGAUAGUUCCA